GGAUGCAAUCAUACCAGCACUAAAGCACCGGAUCCCAUCAAAACUCUGUAGUUAAGCGUGCUUGGGCGAGAGUAGUACUAGGAUGGGUGACCUACUAGGAAGUCCUCGUGUUGCAUUCC
rnacentral:rRNA from 1 species